UGGCUAAGGUGUCUUGGCUAAUGUGUCUUGGCUAAUGUGUCUUUUCUAAGGUGUCUUGGCUAAUGUGUCUUGGCUAAGGUGUCUUGGCUAAGGUGUCCUGGCUAAGGUGUCUUGGCUAAUGUGUCUCGGCUAAGGUGUCUUGGCUAAUGUGUCUUGGCUAAGGUUUCUUGGCUAAUGUGUCUUGGCUAAUGUGUCUUGGCUAAGGUGUCUUCGCUAAGGUGUCUUGGCUAAGGUGUCUUGGCUAAUGUGUCUUGGCUAAGGUGUCUUGGCUAAGGUGUCUUGGCUAAGGUGUCUUGGCUAAUGUGUCUUGGCUAAGGUGUCUUGGCUAAUGUGUCUUGGCUAAGGUGUCCUGGCUAAGGUGUCUUGGCUAAUGUGUCUCGGCUAAGGUGUCUUGGCUAAUGUGUCUUGGCUAAGGUUUCUUGGCUAAUGUGUCUUGGCUAAUGUGUCUUGGCUAAGGUGUCUUCGCUAAGGUGUCUUGGCUAAGGUGUCUUGGCUAAUGUGUCUUGGCUAAGGUGUCUUGGCUAAUGUGUCUUGGCUAAUGUGUCUUGGCUAAGGUGUCUUGGCUAAGGUGUCUUGGCUUAGGUGUCUUGGCUAAUGUGUCUUGGCUAAGGUGUCUUGGCUUAGGUGUCUUGGCUAAUGUGUCUCGGCUAAGGUGUCUUGGCUAAGGUGUCUUGGCUAAGGUGUCUUGGCUAUGGUGUCUUGGCUAAUGUGUCUUGGCUAAGGUGUCUUGGCUAAUGUGUCUUGGCUAAUGUGUCUCGGCUAAUGUGUCUUGGCUAAAGUGUCUUGGCUAAUGUGUCUUGGCUAAGGUGUCUUGGCUAAGGUGUCUUGGCUAAUGUGUCUUGGCUAAUGUGUCUUGGCUAAUGUGUCUCGGCUUAGGUGUCUUGGCUAAAGUGUCUUGGCUAAUGUGUCUCGGCUAAGGUGUCUUGGCUAAUGUGUCUUGGCUAAGGUGUCUUGGCUAAUGUGUCUUGGCUAAGGUGUCUUGGCUAAUGUGUCUUGGCUAAGGUGUCUUGGCUAAUGUGUCUUGGCUAAUGUGUCUCGGCUAAUGUGUCUUGGCUAAAGUGUCUUGGCUAAUGUGUCUUGGCUAAGGUGUCUUGGCUAAGGUGUCUUGGCUAAGGUGUCUUGGCUAAUGUGUCUCGGCUAAGGUGUCUGGGCUAAGGUGUCUUGGCUAAGGUGUCUUGGCUAUGGUGUCUUGGCUAAGGUGUCUUGGCUAAUGUGUCUUGGCUAAUGUGUCUCGGCUAAUGUGUCU